rnacentral:rRNA from 1 species
AUACGUAGGUGGCAAGCGUUGUCCGGAAUUACUGGGUGUAAAGGGUGCGUAGGCGGGUGAUCAAGUCAGGUGUGAAAUACCACGGCUCAACUGUGGGGGUGCACUUGAAACUGAACAUCUUGAGUGAGGUAGAGGUAAGCGGAAUUCCAAGUGUAGCGGUGAAAUGCGUAGAUAUUUGGAGGAACACCAGUGGCGAAGGCGGCUUACUGGGCCUUAACUGACGCUGAAGCACGAAAGCAUGGGGAGCAAACAGGAUUAGAUACCCUGGUAGUCCAUGCUGUAAACGAUGGAUACUAGGUGUGGGGAGUAUUGACCCUCUCCGUGCCGCAGUUAACACAAUAAGUAUCCCACCUGGGGAGUACGGCCGCAAGGUUGAA